AAAAGCUUUCUUUAAUUGAAUAAUUGAAUUUAAUUUUUUAGUGCAAAAGCAAAAAUAAAAAUUAGGGACAAGAAGACCCUAUGAAUUUUUUAUUAAAUUUUAUAAAACUUUAUAUAAAAUUUAAUUUAAUUGGGGUGAUGGAAAAAGAAUAAAUAUCUUUUUUUUUAAAAAAAAUUGGUUCCGUUUUUAGCGAUUAAAUGAAAAAAANACUCUAGGGAUAACAGCGUAAUAAUUUUGGAUAGUUCAUAUAGAUAAAAUAGUUUGCGACCUCGAUGUUGGAUUAGGAUUCUUUUUUGGUGAANAAGUUAAAAAAA
rnacentral:rRNA from 1 species